CUUAUGAUAGACUGAUUGCACUACUGGUCUUAAUUCUUCACACUUGCCUAGAGCCACUCUGCCCUGAGAAUUCCUAUCUCCUCUAAAUAAAGAGGUGCAAUCUAGUUCCUUCUCCUUUGAAUCAGGGUUUUCCUCUGGCUGACUUUGGCCAAUAAGAGCUGGAAAUGACAGUGUGUCAGUUCCAAGCCUAGCUCAGAAGGCAUUGCAUAUUUUCCUCUGACUCACACACUCUGCCAUUACCAUGAGAACAUGCCUGGGUUAGCUGCCUGCAGAGCAAAAAUAGCAAAACCAAGUCAUCUCCGUUACCCCAAUGGGGGCCAACCCAGAGUAGCCAAUAAGACACCAAUCUUUGUACAUAUGGGGAAGAAACAGAGCAAUGAAGAUAUUCAUCACACAGUUUGAAUGAACAGUGACUGGUAGGUUAAUUUCCUUUCACUGAGAAACUUGGACUUUGUUGCUAGAAUAUUCUAUUUGGAGCAUGAAUCCCACAAAUCACUGAACCAUUUAUUUUAAUACUAAAUUUAUUUUAAAACAACUUUCAGGGAGUUCCCAUCAUGGCUCAGUGGUAACAAACCCAACUAGUUUCCUUGAGGACGUGGGUUUGAUCCCUGGCCUCGAUCAGUGGGUUAAGGACCUUGAGGUGGGCUGUGGUGUGGGUCACAAACGCAGCUUGGAUCCUGCAUUGCUGUGGCUGUGGCAUAGGCUGGUAGCUGCAGCUCCAAUUUGACCCCUAGCCUGGGAACUUCCAUAUGCCAUGGGUGCAGCCCUAAAAAGACUAAUAAAAUACUUUUAAUGUUUUACA
rnacentral:lncRNA from 1 species